CAAAGAUUAAGCCAUGCAUGUCUAAGUAUAAGCGAUUUAUACGGUGAAACUGCGAAUGGCUCAUUAUAUCAGUCAUAAUUUAUUUGAAAGUCCCUUACUACAUGGCUACCCGUAGUAAUUCUAGAGCUAAUACAUGCACAAAAGCUCAACUGCCUUCUGGCGGACGGGCUGCAUUGAUUAGACUGAAACCAAUGCGUCCUCGGACGGUUUUGUGGUGAAUCAUAAUCACUUGCUGAUCGCACGCUUCGGCGGCGACGUUUCAUUCAAGUUUCUGCCCUAUCAGCUUUGGAUGGUAGGGUAUUGGCCUACCAUGGCUUUAACGGGUAACGGGGAAUUGGGGUUCGAUUCCGGAGAGGGAGCCUGAGAGACGGCUACCACAUCC
rnacentral:rRNA from 1 species